GGUCUUGUAUUCAUUUUAUGAUAUUAAAUUGCAAAUUUAAAGGUAUAUUAAAUAUUAAGGCUU
rnacentral:tRNA from 1 species